rnacentral:lncRNA from 1 species
UUCUUCCUCUUCCCUGUCCCAUGUCUCCCACUCCUAUCUUGGGCUUUCCUGGGAGCGCCUCCUUAAUGAGCGAGUCAUUUGUCCUUUUCACUGUGUUUGCUUUGGGGAUCCCAACACAGGACACCCCUUGGCCUCUUAACCACCAUCCUGUGCUCAUAGCCUCAUGUUCUGUGAGCUGCUCCACACUCCCACAGGGAGCAGAGCUAGAAGCCAAGCCAGUCUCCUCACCUGAAAAAUGGGAAGAGCAAAAUAUCCUACCCUAGAGGGUUGCUGUGAGAGCCGAAAGCGUCUAUCCACGUGAAGCACAUGGGACAGAGCCUGGCACAAAGAAAAUGCUUCCCAGCAAUGGAAAGCCCUGAUGGAGCCCGGUGUAAACUAUGCAGGGUGCCAGAGCCCCCACUGACAGCGCUGGUGUCCACAUGUGGUCACAGGGAUACAGCGGCAGCAUCCCAAAGCCCUAGCCUGGUCCAUCACCCUCAAAACUGCCUCUGGUUUGUCCAAGUCUACCAGGAUUCAAGUUCAUUUCAGAAAAGCAGUGGCCAGAAACCAAGGCCUGGAGGGGGCUGGGGAGGUGUCAGGGAAGGGAUCAGAGGCCAAGCUCUGUGUUUCCUCAGACAAAGAGAGAAAGCAGGCUGAGAGAUGGCGGCAGCAUGUGACACCUGGGCCACAGGCCUGGGCAGCAGCCGUGGCAGCCAAGGGGAUAAUGGCUCUCUUUGUCCUGCGUGUAAAUUCUCCGGAAAAGAAAGGAUUCCAGGGCCUGCUUCUCCGGCUUGCACAAUGCUGGCCGCCUGGGGCCCCACUGCGAGGGCCUGCCAUGGCAUUCGGGGAGCAGUGAGGCCCCUUCUCUGUCUCGUUCCUUCCAGGCGUGCAGAAGCGGAAAGUCAGGCUGCCGUGCCAGACAUUCUGCAGGGGGUUGGGAGGCUGGGCUGAGGCACAGCCUGUGCCAGGAGCUUUGUUUCACAGCCUCGAGGAAACCAAAGCAUCUUGAAGCUCUGAAUUAGAAAGAGUCUUAGAGAGCAUCCAUGCCAGCUCUUCCUAAUACUUGUCCCACCCCCUACCUUCUCUGCCUACCACUCCCCACUCCCCUGCCUUCAGCAGCCAAGAAUGGUUACAAACACAGGCUUUGGAGUCAGAGAGGGCUGAGUUCAAAUGCUGACAAUGCCACUCACAAGCUAUUUCAUCUCUAUGGGCUUCAGUUUCUCCACCUGCAAAAUGGACAUAAUAGCACCUACUCAUAAGAUUGUCAAUAGGAAUAAGUGAGAAAAUGCAUGUACCAUGCUUAAUGUGGACACAGCCUCCAGAAGCGCUCAAUAAGGGUAGACGGUCCAGUAGGUCACCCAGCCUGUACUUGAUUUCCUCCAAGGGCAGGCAAUCACUGCUUGCAUUCCAUUUUCAGACCAAGUUCAAAUCUGUCUCUUAUACCCUCAUGGGUGCUGAGGGUAAAGGGGAGAGGGCCUACAUACAUUAAACAUUUCCUACAUGUUACUGUUGCCAUAAAUUACUCACAGAACUUAAGGGCCUGUCUUAGUCUAUUUGUGUUGCUAUAAAGGAAUACCCGAGGCUGGGUAAUUUAUAAAGACAAGAGGUUUAUUUGGCUCAUGGUUCUGCAGGCUGUACAAGAAGCAUGGAGCCAGCGUCUGGUCUGGUGAGGGCCUCAGGAAGCUUCCAUUCAUGGAAAGGGGAAGGAGAGCUAGUGUGCAGAGAUCACAUGCUAAGAGAGGAAUGGGGAGGGGGUGGUGCAGAGGUGCCAGGAUUUUUAGCAGCCAGCUCUCAUGAAAACUAAUAGAGUGAGAGCUCAUUUAUUACAAUGCAAGAAUGGCACCAAGCAAUUCAUGAGGGAUCAGCCACCAUGACACAAACACCUCCCAUGAGGCCCCACCUCCAGUAUUGGGGAUCACAUUUCAACAUGAGGGUUGGAGGGGUCAAAUAUCCAAACCAUAGCAGGGCCUGUCCAGGGCCACACAGAGGAAGUGACCAGGAUUUGAGCCUGAGUCUUUCCAGCCUUCUGCACCAUGAUGCCGUAAGGGAAAACUUUAUAUAUGUGAAAACAGCUCCACGGCCCCCUCAGUGUCUUCUCUUCCCCACAGAAAACAUCUCCUAGGCCUCAGGGUUUCGUUUUGUGUUCUGCCACCAUCCUGGCCCCUAUCCUCUUGACAGGCUCUAAUUUGUUACUGUCUCUCUUAAAUAAAUAGCUUGCAGACUUAUUCCAGCUGUCUUCUGACCAGUGCAGAAUAGGAAUGCACUCUCACCUCCUUUAUUCUAGGGGCUCUGUUUUUGCUAAUAACACCUAAGAUGAUGUGGCCCUUGGACCAUUCACAUUAUGCUGAUGGCUCUCUCAUACUUAAUGAUCUUCAAUCUGCAAGAAUAACAAGAGCCUUUGUGCUCUGAACAGCUCGUAGCAGUCAUUGCAGAUCUUCAUUUCAGGUAAUAGAACCUUCUUCAACUAGUUUAAGCAGUCAAGCCUUUUAUAUAUUUGGUGGCUCACAGAAUCUCCAGCAGGGCUGAAGAGUCAGGCGUGGAAGAGACACACCCAGGAACAACUCACCAACCACUCCUGACCCGGCUUCUCCACUGGAGACACCAUUGCCAUUAGACAAGAAUGAACCUGCACACCUUGCUGAUGCUGGUGUAGCACUGUCGCUAGAACCUCUGCCUCUGCUCCUCUUGGUCUCCCACAUUCAGUACCUCCUUCUUCACCUUGGUCUCUUCUAAGCCUCCGUGGGUGCAUUUCAGGGAUUAAAUGAGUUAAUAGAUGUAUAGUCAGCCUCCAACAUGGUUCCAGUAAUUCUCACCUCCUGGUAUUGUGUCUUUGUAUAGGCCCCUCCCACAAUGGAUAGGGCUGACCUGUGUAACCAACAGGAUGUUGCAGAAAUGACAUAGUGUGACUUCAACACUAAGUCACAUAAGACAUCGCAACUUCUGCCUUGCUCUUUUGGAGCACUUGUUGUAGGGAAAACCAGCUGCCAUGUCAUAAGGACACUUAAGCAAUGCUCUGGAGAGAUCUACAUGGCAAAGAACUGAGGCCUCCUGCCAACCCCCAGCACAAAUGAGCCAGGCAUGCAAGACAUCAUCUUGGAAAGGGAUCCUGCAGCCUCACUUGAGCCUUCAGAUGAUGCAGCUCCAGCUGACAUCUUGGCUGCAACCUCAUGAGGGACCCUGGGCCAGCACCACCCAGCCAAGCUGCUCCAGACACCUGAUCCACAAAAACUUUGUGAGAUAAUAAAAUAAAAUACAUUUUAACAUUUUUUGCUUA